CCCUUAGAUGUUCUGGGCUGCACGCGCGCGACAAUGACGUUUGCAACGAGAUUGCGAGGCCGUCAGGUCGAGCUGAUCUUGCAAGCUGCGUCGUGAUAGGGACAGUCGAUUGCAAUUAUUCGACUCGAACGAGGAAUUCCUUGUAAUCGCGCAUCAUCAGUGCGCGCUGAAUACGUCCCUGCCCUUUGUACACACCGCCCGUCGCUCCUACGGAUUGAGUGAUCCGGUGAAUGUUUUGGAUCGGCUUCAAGUUGGUUCGCGCCUCUUGCUUGCUGUGAAAUCAUGUAAACCUUAUUGCUUAGAGGAAGGAGAAGUCGUAACA
rnacentral:rRNA from 1 species